GCGCCCGUAGCUCAGCUGGAUAGAGCAGCGGACUUCUAAUCCGCAGGUCGCAGGUUCGAGCCCUGCCGGGCGUGC
rnacentral:tRNA from 2 species